UACAGGGGGGGCAAGCGUUGUUCGGAAUUACUGGGCAUAAAGGGUGCGUAGGUGGCUUGUUAAGUCAGGGGUGAAAGUUUUCGGCCCAACCGGAAAAUGGCCUUUGAUACUGGCGAGCUCGAGUGCGUGAGGGGUAACCGGAACGAGCAGUGUAGCGGUGAAAUGCGUAGAUAUUGCUCGGAAGGCCAACGGCGAAGGCAGGUUACUGGUGCGCAACUGACACUGAGGCACGAAAGCGUGGGGAGCAAACAGG
rnacentral:rRNA from 1 species